CGGUGUUUAACUGGCGUGAUGUGGGACGUCCUACCGGUGGGCUUAGCCUCGCGAGGGGCGGCCCAACUAAUAUCCCGUCGCGGUGCUCUUUACUGAGUGUCGAGUCGGGCCGGUACGUUUACUUUGAACAAAUUAGAGUGCUUAAAGCAGGCUAUCCUCGCCUGAAUACUGCGUGCAUGGAAUAAUGGAAUAGGACCUCGGUUCUAUUUUGUUGGUUUUCGGAACCCCCGAGGUAAUGAUUAAUAGGGACAGAUGGGGGCAUUCGUAUUGCGACGUUAGAGGUGAAAUUCUUGGAUCGUCGCAAGACGGACAGAAGCGAAAGCAUUUGCCAAAAAAUGUUUUCAUUAAUCAAGAACGAAAGUUAGAGGUUCGAAGGCGAUCAGAUACCGCCCUAGUUCUAACCAUAAACGAUGCCAGCUAGCGAUCCGCGGAAGUUCCUCCGAUGACUCGGCGGGCAGCUUCCGGGAAACCAAAGCUUUUGGGUUCCGGGGGAAGUAUGGUUGCAAAGCUGAAACUUAAAGGAAUUGACGGAAGGGCACCACCAGGAGUGGAGCCUGCGGCUUAAUUUGACUCAACACGGGAAACCUCACCAGGCCCAGACACCGGAAGGAUUGACAGAUUGAUAGCUCUUUCUUGAUUCGGUGGGUGGUGGUGCAUGGCCGUUCUUAGUUGGUGGAGCGAUUUGUCUGGUUAAUUCCGAUAACGAACGAGACUCUAGCCUGCUAAAUAGGCGUACCUUAUGGUAUCGCGAAGGCCCCCGGCUUCGGCCGGUGGGUUUUUACUACCAACGUACAAACAAAUCUUCUUAGAGGGACAGGCGG
rnacentral:rRNA from 1 species